AAAUGAAUUGACGGGGGCCCGCACAAGCAGCGGAGCAUGUGGUUUAAUUCGAAGCAACGCGAAGAACCUUACCAAGGCUUGACAUCCUCUGACGCGCGUAGAGAUACGCGUUUCCCUUCGGGGACAGGGAGACAGGUGGUGCAUGGUUGUCGUCAGCUCGUGUCGUGAGAUGUUGGGUUAAGUCCCGCAACGAGCGCAACCCUUAUCAUUAGUUGCCAGCGAGUAAAGUCGGGAACUCUAAUGAGACUGCCGAGGACAACUCGGAGGAAGGUGGGGAUGAUGUCAAAUCAGCAUGCCCUUUAUGUCUUGGGCUACACACGUGCUACAAUGGCCGGUACAAAGAGGAGCGAGCCUGUGAAGGUGAGCGAAUCUCAAAAAGCCGGUCUCAGUUCAGAUUGUGGGCUGCAACCCGCCCACAUGAAGUCGGAGUUGCUAGUAAUCGCGAAUCAGCAUGUCGCGGUGAAUGCGUUCCCGGGCCUUGUACACACCGCCCGU
rnacentral:rRNA from 1 species